AAAAACAUAUYUGAUAGAUAUAAUUAUUAGUAUAACCUGCUCAAUGAACAUUCAAUAGCCGCAGUAUAUCUGUGCUAAGGUAGCAUAAUCAUUUGUCUUUUAAUUAAAGACUAGAAUGAAAGGUUAAACAUUUAAUUCAUUAUUAUAAAACUCUUCUUUAAAUUUUUUUAAAUGUAAAAAAACAUUUAUAAAUAAGAAAGACGACAAGACCCUAUUAAACUUUACUUAAGUUUAACUGGGGUAGUUAAAUAAAAAAAUUUUAUUUAAUUUUAUUAAACAAAAUGACCUAAUCUAAUUAAAUAUUAAUCAAGUUACUAUAGGGAUAACAGCGUAAUAACUUUUUAAAGAUCUUAUAUAAAAAUAUGAUUACGACCUCGAUGUUGAAUUAAUUUUACUAUUACACGCAAAAGUGUAAGUAGAAAGUCUGUUCGACUUUUAAAAAAUUACAUGAUC
rnacentral:rRNA from 1 species